CCCUCUCUCCUCUUUUCCCUUUCUUCUCUUUCCUUUUUUCAAUUAUAUGAUUCUAACUGAUUUUUUUCCCUUGUUAGAAUUGGUCUGGAUAUGAAGCUACUAAACGCAUGAGACACAGAAAUCAUCUUAAUUGGUAAGCUCCAAUAUUUCCCUAAAGUUUUACAGCUUUCUUUAUUUAAAAAGAAAGACAUUUUUCCUGCUAAGAUUUGUUAAUCUUUCGAUUAAUAACCCAUAGGUCUGAAAUUCUAUUCUUCCAUCUCCUUCUUUGAGCGAACAAAGAAAACCGUAGUAAAAUCUUCAUCCAAAAGCAGCGAAAGUCGGAAGUAUUUAUAAACCCAGAGAUCUGCUGUUUUUUAUUUUCUUGUUGAGUAUGCUUCUGAGUUUGU
rnacentral:lncRNA from 1 species